rnacentral:rRNA from 1 species
AGAACGAACGCUGGCGGCAGGCUUAACACAUGCAAGUCGAGCGCCCCGCAAGGGGAGCGGCAGACGGGUGAGUAACGCGUGGGAACAUACCCUCCGGUUCGGAAUAGCUCAGGGAAACUUGGAUUAAUACCGGAUACGGCCUAGCGGCGAAAGAUUCAUCGCCGGAGGAUUGGCCCGCGUUCGAUUAGCUAGUUGGUGAGGUAACGGCUCACCAAGGCGACGAUCGAUAGCUGGUCUGAGAGGAUGAUCAGCCACAUUGGGACUGAGACACGGCCCAAACUCCUACGGGAGGCAGCAGUGGGGAAUAUUGGACAAUGGGCGCAAGCCUGAUCCAGCCAUGCCGCGUGAGUGAUGACGGCCUUAGGGUUGUAAAGCUCUUUCGCUAGGGACGAUAAUGACGGUACCUAGACAAGAAGCCCGGCUAACUACGCGCCAGCAGCCGC